rnacentral:rRNA from 1 species
UACAGAGGGUGCGAGCGUUAAUCGGAAUUACUGGGCGUAAAGCGUGCGUAGACGGUAGCGUAAGUCAGAUGUGAAAGCCCCGGGCUCAACCUGGGAACUGCAUUUGAGACUGCUCUGCUCGGGUGCGGAAGAGGGAAGCGGAAUUUCCGGUGUAGCGGUGAAAUGCGUAGAUAUCAGAAGGAACACCAGUGGCGAAAGCGGCUUCCUGGUCCGACACCGGCGUUCAGGCACGAAAGCGUGGGGAGCAAACAGG